rnacentral:rRNA from 1 species
CCUACGGGAGGCAGCAGUGGGGGAUAUUGCACAAUGGGGGGAACCCUGAUGCAGCGACGCCGCGUGGGUGAAGAAGCGCCUCGGCGCGUAAAGCCCUGUCAGCAGGGAAGAAAAUUACGGUACGUGAAGAAGAAGCCCCGGCCAACUACGUGCCACCAGCCGUGGUUAAACGUCGGGUGCAAGCGUUAUCCGGAUUGACUGGGUGUAAAGGGGCCGUAGACGGCGUUGCAAGCCAGGAGGGAAAGCCCGGGGUCCAACCCCGGGACUGCUCUUGGAACUGCGUGGCUGGAGUGCAGGAGGGGGAGGCGGAAUGCCUGGUGUAGCGGUGAAAUGCGUAGAUAUCAGGAGGAACACCGGUGGCGAAGGCGGCCUGCUGGACUGCAACUGACGUUGAGGCCCGAAAGCGUGGGGAGCAAACAGGAUUAGAUACCCCAGUAGUC